UCGCGUGAAGGAUGAUGCUUACUCAAAAUCCCCUCCGCAAGAAAGUGGGAGAUUCUCUCUGGGAAAUCUCUUCAGAUCAAGAUCUGAGAAGUUCCUUUACAACUUGGGUUUGAUCAAGUCAUGUUCUUGAGAAGUUCACUAAGUGAACCUGAUCUCAUUCAGAACAUGUGCUUAUGUUGGUUUAGACUGCCUUUAGUUGUCGGAUGUGACUCGGAAUCAAAUUGCAUAGCAUUUUAGGUCAAUCCCUUGUUGAUCUUGGGUUUGACCCAUAAACUUGCUUCAACUUGUACAGCUUCAUGUACAUAGAUUUUCGCCUUUGCAUCGUCGUCUUGAAGGAUAUUGUAAAUACUUACAUUUCCUACUCUUCAACUCCUGUAGAAUCUUAUUUUCAGAUUAUUUCUUAUUUGUAGCUUUAUAAAUACUCGUUGGCAUACAGACAACAAGAAGAUAAAGGAAAUGCGGCCGCGAUGCCCAUAAUUUGCAUAGGGAUUAAGAUUCCCUAAGCAUAUGAGCUAUGAAAGAAAUAUGUGGGUUCAAAGGGCACAAGAACAUUUUGAACCGGAGAAAAUGACGUGAAGGUCCUUUUCGAGUUAUGCCUCUGAUGGGUGGAUGGACAAUCUUUAACAACACCAGAAUUUGUCACGAUUUCAAAUUGUGGAAAAGUUUGCGUGUAAGAAUGUCACGGCAAAGCUUUUACUUUGGCCUUAAUAUUAUAAUUUCUCUGUGCCUGCCUGAUGUGUAUAGCAUUGGAAAGUAUCUGCCAUGUAACGCCUCAGCCUCCAUAAAUAGCCAUGGAUGAUUAUUGCGUGCCAGAUGACUUGACACUUGACAGCAGCAUAGCAGAAUAGACAACAAUGCUUUUCCAGACAGGAUCGGGUUUGAUUUGCUUCCAUAAACUGCACCAACCGUGACAAUUGAGUUUUUGGCAGCCUACUGUUACAAUAUAAUACAAUACAUUGUUUUCAGAAAUCUCCUAUGAGGUGAUUGAUGAUCAUUCUAAUAUUUUAAUCAAGCCGUCUAGAUUGACUGAUUGCAAAUAUUGAUUUAAAAAGUGCUUGGUGACAAAAAAAAAAAAGGGUUAGGCUCCGAGAAAGUUGUACGGAUAAGGGAUACACUGUUGUGAACUUAAGGUGCCCUGACCGGCCUAAAUUACUCUUUGAUGCAGUAUGCACAUUGACAGAUAUGCAAUACGUGGUAUACCAUGCAACUGUCAUAGCUGAAAGUCCAGAGGCUUAUCAGGUCAGUCCUUGAAAUCUCAAGUUGCUCUUUUCGAUUGCUGGUUGACUCAGUUUAUUUUCAUUUGAAUUAAAACUUUGGUUCUGGUUCCCCUAGUAUUCAGUAGUGAGCUGAAUCAUUGAGAAUUAGCAUUUGGUAUCUGUUUCGUGGUGUCUUAUAUUUUCUAUCUGCUUUCCAAUUUGUUUAACAGGAGUAUUAUAUUAGGCAUGUAGAUGGGAACCCUAUUAGUUCUGAAGCAGAGAGACAGAGGGUAAUUAAUUGCUUGGAAGCUGCAAUUAAGCGGCGAACUUCCGAGGUAAAAACAAGGGAACCUUUGCUUUUUUUAUUUUAGUUUCAGUUGAUUCAUGUUUUUGAUGUCAUUGCUUGUCUGUUAAACAGGGCAUAAGCUUGGAACUUUGUUGUGAAGACAGAGCUGGCCUUUUGUCCGAUGUGACGCGGAUAUUUAGAGAAAAUGGUCUUUCAGUGACUCGAGCUGAGGUUACUACCAGGGGUUCCCAAGCUGUGAAUGUUUUCUAUGUGGUUGAUGCAUCAGGAAAUCCAGUGAAGAGUGAAACAAUUGAAUCAGUUCGUAAAGAGAUUGGCCUUACAAUACUUCGCGUGAAGGAUGAUGCUUACUCAAAAUCCCCUCCGCAAGAAAGUGGGAGAUUCUCUCUGGGAAAUCUCUUCAGAUCAAGAUCUGAGAAGUUCCUUUACAACUUGGGUUUGAUCAAGUCAUGUUCUUGAGAAGUUCACUAAGUGAACCUGAUCUCAUUCAGAACAUGUGCUUAUGUUGGUUUAGACUGCCUUUAGUUGUCGGAUGUGACUCGGAAUCAAAUUGCAUAGCAUUUUAGGUCAAUCCCUUGUUGAUCUUGGGUUUGACCCAUAAACUUGCUUCAACUUGUACAGCUUCAUGUACAUAGAUUUUCGCCUUUGCAUCGUCGUCUUGAAGGAUAUUGUAAAUACUUACAUUUCCUACUCUUCAACUCCUGUAGAAUCUUA
rnacentral:lncRNA from 1 species